rnacentral:lncRNA from 1 species
AUGGAGGUAGGCGGAAAGGGUAGAGGUUACAAGGUUGUGUGGAGUAUGUUGAAGGGUUGUGAUGAGUAUAUAAUAGCAGAGGUUGGGGUUUUGAUUCUUGGUGACAGGAAUGUUAGAAAGCAGGCAUUAAAACUAAAGUUCAAACAAACAGAUGUACAAUUAUACGAGGAAGAUAAAUGGCAGAGAGGAAGUGACUUACCUCGAGGUCGACAAAUAAGUGAAGUAGAAAGCCAGAGGUAG